rnacentral:misc_RNA from 1 species
CUUCACUACUAUCAUCGUCUUCACUCCAAAAUGUUCCAAUCUACGGCGAACCCAUCAAGAUUUCUCAACCCAUAUUCACAUCUUCACAAAAGUUACCACUUUUGCAAUUCUCUCAACGCCCCAUCUCCAGCAUUGGAUCAUUGGGGUGUCAGUUUCGCAGAGCUUACAGUCUUCUGAGCCUAAAUGAUUUGCAAGAUAACAAAGGUGCUAGGAAGCAGAAGACUCGGAAGGGAAGAGGUAUUGGGUCUGGUAAAGGGAAGACGGCGGGUCGUGGACAUAAGGGUCAGAAAGCUAGAGGGACGUAUAAGUUCGGGUUUGAAGGUGGACAGACCCCACUUCGUCGCCGUGUGCCUAAACGUGGAUUUAAGAACCCGUUCAGUCUCACAUUUCAGCCAGUUGGGUUGGGAAAGAUUGCAAAUCUGAUAAAUGCUGGGAAGAUUGACUCGUCAGAGUUGAUCACAAUGAAAACUCUAAAGGAUUCCGGUGCAAUAGGGAAGCAAAUAGAAGAUGGAGCCAGGUUGAUGGGGCGUGGGGCUGAACUUAUUCAAUGGCCCAUCCAUCUAGAGGUUUCAAGGGUGACCGCUAGAGCUAAAGCAGCUGUGGAAGCAGCGGGUGGGUCUGUAAGGAGAGUGCAUUACAACAAACUUGGGUUGCGGGCACUACUGAAGCCUGAGUGGUUUGAGAAAAAGGGCAGGUUGCUCCCGAGACCAGCAAGGCCUCCACCAAAACUGAAGGAUAAGGUGGAUAGCAUUGGGCGGCUGCCUGCCCCAACCAAGCCACUUCCUUUUGUAGUUGAAGAGGCUGAGUCCGUGUCUGCUGCCCCGGCUUGAUAGUGACUAGCUUUCUUCAUGUUUUAUAGAUCUAGGUUCCAUUGCAAGGGAGCAGUUUUUGGCUUCAUGUAGCUUCCCUAAAGCCUUUAUACUUGGUUUUGAGUGUUCCCCAAUUGCCAUAGAUAUUCAGAAAUAAAAUCUCACUUGCUGAAUUUUUUGAGUGACCUUAAGUUCACUCAAGGAUGUAUUUUCAUAGGUAUUUCUGG